rnacentral:rRNA from 1 species
UACGGAGGGUGCGAGCGUUGCUCGGAAUCACUGGGCGUAAAGCGUACGCAGGCUGUCGUACAAGUCGGGUGUGAAAGCCCGGGGCUCAACCCCGGAACUGCGCCCGAGACUGUAUGACUUGAAUGCGGGAGAGGGAAGCGGAAUUCCUGGUGUAGAGGUGAAAUUCGUAGAUAUCAGGAGGAACACCAGUGGCGAAAGCGGCUUCCUGGCCCGACAUUGACGCUCAUGUACGAAAGCGCGGGGAGCAAACAGG